GGGGAAGUAGCUCAGUGGCACAGCACCUGCCUGGAAAGCAUGAGGCCCUAGGUUCAAUUCCUAGUACCA
rnacentral:tRNA from 1 species